rnacentral:lncRNA from 1 species
GGAACCUACAGGAAGGAUGGGAAGGUGGACCUCUUUCUUUGUAAAGUGUGUGUUUGUGUGUGCGUAAGAGUGACAACGUUAUGUGUCACUCUCAGGAACACCGCCCCACUGCUUUGAGGCACUUGGCCUGGAACUCUUCAGUUAAGCUAGACUGGCUACUGAAGAGCCUCAGGGAUCUGCCUAAAUCUACUUCCCUGAAAUCGGGGUUUCCUACACAGACCACCCCACCCAGCUUUUUAAACAUUGGUUUUGCGGAAGGAUCAGGCUCACUCCCUCAUCUUCCAAGACAAACACUUUAUUGACUGAGCCACCCACUCAUCCCUACCUCACCCAACCCUGGUCCCCUGCUUCUGUCCCGUUUCCGUUGGCCACACAGAGUUCUCAGUGAGUGACUCCGACAAAUAAUCUCAGCGUCUACGAAUGUGAGCCAGGUACUUUCCCCGGCCCAGGUUAUGAAUUGUGCAAGCUGUGGGUACCACUUGGCAAAGGAUCCCUCCCUGCUUUGCAGCUGGGGAAACUGAGGGUGAAGAUCACUGAUCUGUGCCUUGAGGGUAUUCCAGAAGAGUAAACCGUUGAUAAGCCGCCCACGCGGGGAGGGUGGAUGGCGGUGGAGGUGGUAGUGAAGAGGGAGUUGAAACUCACUCUUUAUUCUCCGGUCUCUGUUCCCUCCCGGGGUUUGGAUGUUCAAACAGGAUGAUGGGAAUGCUAACCCCAUCCAGUACGGAGUGACUCACUGACAGGACCCUUAGCGGAUGGGAAGAUUCCAGGCUCGUGGGGGCCCAUGGCGCAGCCGGGAUGCGGAUGCACUACGCAUCAUUUUACACACCAGCUGGGCUUCCAGCCGAGCGAACUAUGGGAUUGGCUGACUGUGCCUGACAUGUCACGACUGCUGCUAUGACCCAGAAGAGCAGGCAGAAGAGGCCAUGGUGAACUGAGUGACCCAGCCCUGAAAGUCUCGCUUUGCCUCAGCCACAUCCCUUCCGUAGAAAUGACUCACUAAGGGAAGUGACUUAAGGCCAUCAUUAAGGAGAGAGGUGAGGGCUACGCCUUAGACACAGGGUUUGUGUGGGCAUCAAAAACACCCCAGGGCUCCAGUUCUGUAACUGGAAAUGGGUGAGGCUCCACCCACGGAUGCCACUUCUUGCUGUGGGAUGCAGCAGCCUCUCCCUCGAUCUCUUCCAGAGGCUUGUUAAUUACACUGAAAAGCAGAAAAAUCAUGUGUCCAACUAUAACAGAUUUUUUUUUCCCAAUUAGAUUCUCUUAUAGCACAGGCUGACCCUGAAUUCUCAGGCCUCCUGCCUCAGUCUCACCAAUUCUGGAUGGGAUGGCAGAUGUGUAAAAACAUAUGCCUUGGCUUGGGAAAACUUCAAUACAUGUUGGAAACAAGUUGAGGGAGUGAACCUAUUCUCCCCUUAGAUUUCACAAACUCUAAAUUACAUCCAGCAUUUCCAGGGAAUAUUUACUGCCCAGAUUGGAUUUUGAAGUCAGUGUGAACAAAAGAGAAUGAACCAACACAUUAAUGUUCUGAGACUGAUCCCAUGCGGAGUUGGUAAUAUUUAUAAAAUGUUGGGUUAAAUAAUAAGGUCAACUUUUUUGUUGUUGUUUUGUUUUUUGAGACAGGGUUUCUGUGUGUAGCCCUGGCUGUCCUGGAACUCACUCUGUAGGCCAGGAUGGCCUGGAACUCAGAAAUCCACCUGCCUCUGCCUCCCAAGUGCUGGGAUUAAAGGUGUGCGGCACCACUGCCCAGCCUAAAGUCAACUUUUUUUUAGAGGAAUAUGUGUGCUGGAGGUGAGCAUACCAGGCAUGUAAGUGUGGAGGCCAGAGGUGGGAAUCCAGCAUCUUCCUUUAUUGCUCUCUGCCUUUCACUUUUAUUAUUUUUUGAUUAUGCAUAGGUUGGUGUGCCAGCCUGUGGGUAUCUGCACAGGAAUACAGGUGCAUACAGAGGCCAGAGAUCCCCUGGACAGAUCCCCUUGGAGCUGGAAUGACAGACAACUAGGAGCCACCUGCCAUGGGUAGCAGGAACAGGUAAUGACACCAUCUGUAGGUGGUAUACCAUAGAUGUACAGAAGGCACAUGAGAGUGUGUGCACACAUGCACACGUGUGUACAUGUACAUGCACAAAGAGUGGGCUAUACAAAUGGAAGGCAGAUGCAUACUCGGAACCUGUCCGUGAUUCCUACUUCUCAAGCAUCCGUUUAAUGCUGCUUACUGCUUUUUUGUUUCUAUAACCUCUUUAUUGACAUUUAAUCUUUGCACCCUAACAUGCAUCUCUUCAAAUGCAGAGUCUGAAGGUCUUUAGCAUGUUGUCUUUAGCAUGCUGUGCAAGUUGUGCACGGAUUGAACUCUCUUACCCUGCAAUGGUUGGAAUGAACCACCAACUUGACAGGAUCCAGGGAAUCUCCCAGGAGAUGACCCCUAGGCAUGCUUGCAGGGGAUCAUCUUGAUUUUGUUCUCUGAGGUAGGAAGACCUGCCCACUGUGGGUGGUGCCAUCCCCUGGCUGGGAUCCUGGACUGUAUAAAAGCAACAGGGGGCUGAGCAGUGGCCUGCACCCAUAGCUCUCUGCUUCCUAACUGUGGCCGGAUGUGAGGAUGUGAUGUGACCAACUCCCUCAGGCUCCUGCCGCAGUGACUUCCCAACCGUGAUGGAUUGUAACUUGCAACUCUGAGCAAAAUAAAUCCUUUCUCCCUGAAGUUGCUUUGGUCAGAGUAUUUUAUCACAGCAACAGGAGACACCCAUCCCCAGGAGUAGCUAACCCCAUUUUCCAACCUUUUGUGCCCUGCCAGUUAGGCUCCUGCUCUCUGUGAAGAAUUCCCUCCUCAUGUUUCCCCAUCCCCAUGCUCUGUGCCUUCAUCCCCUGCCUGGCUCUGUCUUCACCUCUGAUGAUAGACUCUCAGCAUCCUGAUCAUCUCUGCAUCCCUCAGAGCUGAUGCUGUUCCUGGUCCCUGGUGCGGACUCAUUGAAAUCAAGCAGAUGAGGAUAUAAAUGGAGAGGGUGCGGAUGGGGCUAUGGGCUAGGACCCGAUGAUACCACCUUUGGGGAAAUCAGAUCUGCUUGUGCGGAAAAAACAUCUCCUUAACCAUGAGGGGCGGAGAGGAUGGCAAGGCUCAGGAGUCAAAUGGACUUACUUACUCAGGAAUUCAAACCUUGCCUCUGUUACCCGCCAGCCAGGCAGCCCUUGGAAAUCAUUUCCUCACCUUUAAAAUGGGUAGAGUUCCUCCA